rnacentral:rRNA from 1 species
CACGCCCUAAACGUUGCGAACUAGGUGUUGGUCGGAUUGACCCGAUCAGUGCCGCAGCUAACGCAUUAAGUUCGCCGCCUGGGGACUACGGCCGCAAGGUUAAAACUCAAAGGAAUAGGCGGGGGCCCGCACAAGCAGCGGAGCGUGUGGUUUAAUUCGAGGCAACGCGAAGAACCUUACCUGGGUUUGACAUGUAGAGGAAACGCCGGUGAAAGCCGGCGCCCCUCGCAAGAAGUCUCUACAUAGGUGGUGCAUGGCUGUCCGGCUCCCGGUUCCCCGGGC